rnacentral:rRNA from 1 species
GAUGAACGCUGGCGGCGUGCCUAAUACAUGCAAGUCGAGCGAACAGACGAGGAGCUUGCUCCUCUGACGUUAGCGGCGGACGGGUGAGUAACACGUGGAUCACCUACCUAUAAGACUGGGAUAACUUCGGGAAACCGGAGCUAAUACCGGAUAAUAUAUUGCACCGCAUGGUUCAAUAGUGAAAGACGGUUUUGCUGUCACUUAUAGAUGGAUCCGCGCCGCAUUAGCUAGUUGGUAAGGUAACGGCUUACCAAGGCGACGAUGCGUAGCCGACGUGAGAGGGUGAUCGGCCACACUGGAACUGAGACACGGUCCAGACUCCUACGGGAGGCAGCAGUAGGGAAUCUUCCGCAAUGGGCGAAAGCCUGACGGAGCAACGCCGCGUGAGUGAUGAAGGUCUUCGGAUCGUAAAACUCUGUUAUUAGGGAAGAACAAAUGUGUAAGUAACUAUGCACGUCUUGACGGUACCUAAUCAGAAAGCCACGGCUAACUACGUG